rnacentral:rRNA from 1 species
UACGUAGGUGGCAAGCGUUGUCCGGAUUUAUUGGGUUUAAAGGGUGCGUAGGCGGUCCUGUAAGUCAGUGGUGAAAUACUCUAGCUUAACUAGAGGGGUGCCAAUGAUACUGCAGGAGUUGAGUACAGAUGAGGUAGGCGGAAUUGACGGUGUAGAGGUGAAAUGCAUAGAUAUCGGGAAGAACACCUAUAGCGAAGGCAGCUUACUGGGCUGUAACUGACGCUGAGGCGCGAAAGUGUGGGGAUCAAACAGG